AUUGAACGCUGGCGGCGUGCCUUACACAUGCAAGUCGAACGGUAACAGGUCUUCGGAUGCUGACGAGUGGCGAACGGGUGAGUAAUACAUCGGAACGUGCCCGAUCGUGGGGGAUAACGAGGCGAAAGCUUUGCUAAUACCGCAUACGAUCUACGGAUGAAAGCGGGGGAUCUUCGGACCUCGCGCGGACGGAGCGGCCGAUGGCAGAUUAGGUAGUUGGUGGGAUAAAAGCUUACCAAGCCGACGAUCUGUAGCUGGUCUGAGAGGAUGAUCAGCCACACUGGGACUGAGACACGGCCCCGACUCCUACGGGAGGCAGCAGUGGGGAAUUUUGGACAAUGGGCGAAAGCCUGAUCCAGCCAUGCCGCGUGCAGGAUGAAGGCCUUCGGGUUUUAAACUGCUUUUGUACGGAACGAAAAGCCUCUUUCUAAUAAAGAGGGGUCAUGACGGUACCGUAAGAAUAAGCACCGGCUAACUACGUG
rnacentral:rRNA from 1 species